AAGAAGCCUGCAGCAUAAUUGGGAGGAGUCUGGCAGGAAAGAAGCCAAGACUUGAUAAAGAAGAAAAUAAGAGUUUACCAAGGAACUGUACGAUGAAGUCUUCGCCUCUUCGCCCCUCCAGAGCCCUGUGAGACCAGAGGGAGGGACUGUUACUAUGGUUGCUGAGGGUCACGCGCUGAUUUGAAGCUCUAAACCGGCUGGCUGGUGACUUCCUUCCCG
rnacentral:lncRNA from 1 species